rnacentral:rRNA from 1 species
UAGGGAAUCUUCGGCAAUGGGGGGAACCCUGACCGAGCAACGCCGCGUGAGUGAAGAAGGUUUUCGGAUCGUAAAGCUCUGUUGUUAAGGAAGAACGAGUGUGAGAAUGGAAAGUUCAUGCUGUGACGGUACCUAACCAGAAAGCCACGGCUAACUACGUGCCAGCAGCCGCGGUAAUACGUAGGUGGCAAGCGUUGUCCGGAAUUAUUGGGCGUAAAGCGCGCGCAGGUGGUUUAGAAAGUCUGAUGUGAAAGCCCACGGCUCAACCGUGGAGGGUCAUUGGAAACUAAUAAACUUGAGGGCAGGAGAGAAAAGUGGAAUUCCUAGUGUAGCGAUGAAAUGCGUAGAGAUUAGGAGGAACACCGGUGGCGAAAGCGGCUUUUUGGCCUGCAACUGACACUGAGGCGCGAAAGCGUGGGGAGCAAACAGG